UACCAGCACCCCGAGUGGUCGGGACGAUUAUUGGGCCUAAAGCAUCCGUAGCCGGUUCUGCAAGUCUUCCGUUAAAUCCACCUGCUUAACAGAUGGGCCGCGGAAGAUACUAUAGAGCUAGGAGGCGGGAGAGGCAAGCGGUACUCGAUGGGUAGGGGUAAAAUCCGUUGAUCCAUUGAAGACCACCAGUGGCGAAGGCGGCUUGCCAGAACGCGCUCGACGGUGAGGGAUGAAAGCUGGGGGAGCAAUCCGG
rnacentral:rRNA from 1 species